UUUAAAUCAAGAAAGAAAAAAUAAUGAAAACAUUCAAAUAAUAUAUGUCAUUGUGUGAAGUGAUUAAUCAGCUGUAAUAUGAUGUCAAAAAUCGCUAUUUAACAAUCGAAAAAGUAACUCACUAAAUAAGUUAGGUCUGUUGCACCCCUCCCUUCUUUUCCAGAUUUCUAGAGGACAAGAUUUUGUAUGGAAAAACUUUUAAGCAUCAGUAGCAACAACGGUGAAUUUGAUCCGAACGAGGUAUUUUGAUGCCUAUGAGGUAUUAUCUUUUUGGUUUUCACUAAGCAACUUACAAUAAGAUUUUGGGUUGUGCAUUGGUUGUAAGCCUAUACAGAUCAAUUUCUCAUAUACUUGUUGAUUUGGUUUUAUUUGUUAUGAAUUACGGGUGCUGAAAUAGUUUAUGUACUAUCUAAAUCUUAGGAUAUUAAUAUAAUUGUAUUUUAAAGCAAUAUCUUGCUAUAUCAAAAUCUUUUUCUUUCUUUCUUUUUUUGUUUACAGAUUGUUAAUCUGUGGUACAAUGCUUAAAUGACUAUUAGGAUCAACUCAUUACCAAAACUGCUUGAUUAUUGUAUGCAUAUAAGUUGUUUGAUGAAAUGCUUAUAUGAGCUGUCCUUUUGGAACUAGAAUUAUUGGCCGCGUGGUGAUUCAAAAUUAGGUGGAAUAGCAAUGGGACUUUGUACAGAAGCUGUAAUUGUUGCCCAUCAAUACUACAUUCUUUGUAAUUUGCUAAAUUUAAAUAACCAUGGUACUAAUUAUUAAAGUGCAACACUAUUCUUACACUAUUCUCACAUUUUCUUUUCCUUUCCAAAUUCAUGAUUCAUAUACAAGCUAAGAGACUAGUUAGUACAAAAGUAAUAAAAAAUUAAUGGUGAAAUUUUUUAGAAAUGCAAUUAUGCACUUCCCUUAUCCUAAGAAAAGUAAUGAAUUUUUGUGAUCUUAGUUACGAACAAUUGUGUACUUACAAAGGAGAGAACCAUAAGAAUAGUCCUAGUUACGAAUUAUUGUAGUUAUGUCAUGAACAUUAAAAAAACCAUUGUGGUUUUAUUAUAAAAUUUUAUGGUAUAAUUAUGAAAGAGUAUAUGGCUUGCAUCUUUUUAGGUGUGUCUAUCAUGAAUUUUUUCCGAACCUUUACAUGUUGUAAUGAAUUUUGAGUUUUAGAAUUAUAGACACUUUAAGUAAUUUCUACAAAACUGUUUAAGUUUUAUAAGCCUAGAAUUGCAUAGUAGCAAUAACAGUUUAUAUAGUCUUAACAAUCUAUUACGGUUGAAAAAUGUAGUCAGUGAUUAUUUUUUCAAUUGGCUUUCACAUGUUUGAUAAAUUGCCUCAAAGUGGUGUGCUCGUGUAUUUAUUUAUUAUUUUUUUGGGGAUUUAAGUGUGACUUGUUUUAUUUUCUACUCAAUAAAAUAGCUAACUUUGAAUGUGGAGAUAUUGGGAAACUAGAGGUUUACAUCAAACAUUCAUCAUAGAUAAUAUGACAAUCGCUAUAAUGUAUGAUGAUUUCUUUUGUUAUUUCUGACCUUUUCUUUUCCUUGCAUAUUUUCUUUUUCUUACUCUAUCGGAUAACAAAAGUGGCUUCUUAAAAUGGAUUUAUUUGUUCAUAAAGACAUUGGUAUUGGAAUGACCAAAGAGGAACUCAUUGACUGUCUUGGAACUGUUGUUCAGAGUGUUACUUUAAAAAUUCUUCAAUGAUCUUAAGAAGGAAAUAAAAUUGUUUGAGUAUAAUCAUCAACAAAGUGCAACUGGGAAAGUGGCACUAAUGGAGAUUAUAUGUUUUACAUGCUUUGGAAGAAUGAGGAAGCAUGAAGCUCUUUCAAUCAUGCCAUGAAAGGAAACAGAGUAAACGGUGAAAGGAAAUCAACAUUUAUUUUUGGGGUUGAUUGAAUCAAAUGGGUUUGACAUACAUCCACUUGUUCAAGAUAUAUGAAGUACCUGAGUUGUUUAAAUUAGAUGUCAUUGUAAUUUUUAUGUUUUAUUUUUUAUUUUUUGAUUUGGGAUAUGUAAGUUAGAUUACAAUUGAUUUUUAUGAGUUUAUGUUGUUCAUUUCAUGGAUGUUGUAUUUAUAUAUAGCAACUCUGGCUUAGAUCCGACUCGUUGAUGUUUUGGAUCCGAGUUUCAUUGUCUUAUAUGGUUGUUCA